UACGGAGGGAGCUAGCGUUGUUCGGAAUUACUGGGCGUAAAGCGCACGUAGGCGGUUACUCAAGUCAGAGGUGAAAGGCCGGGGCUCAACUCCGGGACUGCCUUUGAAACUAGGUAACUAGAAUCUUGGAGAGGCGGGUGGAAUUCCGAGUGUAGAGGUGAAAUUCGUAGAUAUUCGGAAGAACACCAGUGGCGAAGGCGACUCGCUGGACAAGUAUUGACGCUGAGGUGCGAAAGCGUGGGGAGCAAACAGG
rnacentral:rRNA from 1 species